GGAACUGAGACACGGUCCAAACUCCUACGGGAGGCAGCAGUGAGGAAUAUUGGUCAAUGGGCGAGAGCCUGAACCAGCCAAAUAGCGUGCAGGAUGACGGCCCUAUGGGUUGUACACUGCUUUUAUAAGGGAAUAAAGUGAGUCUCGUGAGACUUUUUGCAUGUACCUUAUGAAUAAGGACCGGCUAAUUCCGUGCCAGCAGCCGCGGUAAUACGGAAGGUCCGGGCGUUAUCCGGAUUUAUUGGGUUUAAAGGGAGCGUAGGCCGGAGAUUAAGCGUGUUGUGAAAUGUAGACGCUCAACGUCUGCACUGCAGCGCGAACUGGUUUCCUUGAGUACGCACAAAGUGGGCGGAAUUCGUGGUGUAGCGGUGAAAUGCUUAGAUAUCACGAAGAACUCCGAUUGCGAAGGCAGCUCACUGGAGCGCAACUGACGCCGAAGCUCGAAAGUGCGGGUAUCGAACAGGAUUAGAUACCCUGGUAGUCCGCACGGUAAACGAUGGAUGCCCGCUGUUGGUCUGAAUAGGUCAGCGGCCAAGCGAAAGCAUUAAGCAUCCCCACCUGGGGAGUACGCCGGCAACGGUGAAACUCAAAGGAAUUGACGGGGGCCCGCACAAGCGGAGGAACAUGUGGUUUAAUUCGAUGAUACGCGAGGAACCUUACCCGGGCUUGAAUUGCAGAGGAAGGAUUUGGAGACAAUGACGCCCUUCGGGGCCUCUGUGAAGGUGCUGCAUGGUUGUCGUCAGCUCGUGCCGUGAGGUGUCGGCUUAAGUGCCAUAACGAGCGCAACCCCUCUCCUUAGUUGCCAUCAGGUCAAGCUGGGCACUCUGGGGACACUGCCACCGUAAGGUGUGAGGAAGGUGGGGAUGACGUCAAAUCAGCACGGCCCUUACGUCCGGGGCUACACACGUGUUACAAUGG
rnacentral:rRNA from 1 species